rnacentral:rRNA from 1 species
UACGUAGGGGGCAAGCGUUGUCCGGAAUCAUUGGGCGUAAAGGGCGCGUAGGCGGCGGGGUAAGUCUGGUGUGAAAUCUCGGAGCUCAACUCCGAAAUUGCACUGGAUACUGCUCUGCUAGAGGGCUGGAGAGGAGAUCGGAAUUCACGGUGUAGCAGUGAAAUGCGUAGAUAUCGUGAGGAAGACCAGUGGCGAAGGCGGAUCUCUGGACAGCUCCUGACGCUGAGGCGCGAAGGCUAGGGGAGCAAACGGG